rnacentral:rRNA from 1 species
GCGUGGAGACAGGUGGUGCAUGGCUGUCGUCAGCUCGUGUCGUGAGACGUUGGGUUAAGUCCCGCAACGAGCGCAACCCUCACCUCUUGUUGCCAACAGGUCAUGCUGGGCACUCUAGAGGAACUGCCCCGGUCAACGGGGAGGAAGGCGGGGAUGACGUCAAGUCAUCAUGCCCCUUACGUCCUGGGCUACACACGUGCUACAAUGGCCGGUACAAAGGGAUGCCACACCGCGAGGUAGAGCUAAACCCAAAAAGCCGGUCUAAGUUCAGGUUGGAGUCUGCAACUCGACUCUAUGAAGGAGGAAUCGCUAGUAAUUGCGUAUCAGCACGACGCGGUGAAUACGUUCCCGGGCCUUGUACACACCGCCCGUCACACCACGAAAGCCAGCUGUACUCGAAGUCGCUGAG